AUGAACGCUGGCGGCGUGCCUAAUCCCUGCAAGUCGCGCGAACAGACGAGGAGCUUGCUCCUCUGACGUUAGCGGCGGACGGGUGAGUAACACGUGGAUAACCUACCUAUAAGACUGGGAUAACUUCGGGAAACCGGAGCUAAUACCGGAUAAUAUAUUGAACCGCAUGGUUCAAUAGUGAAAGACGGUUUUGCUGUCACUUAUAGAUGGAUCCGCGCCGCAUUAGCUAGUUGGUAAGGUAACGGCUUACCAAGGCAACGAUGCGUAGCCGACCUGAGAGGGUGAUCGGCCACACUGGAACUGAGACACGGUCCAGACUCCUACGGGAGGCAGCAGUAGGGAAUCUUCCGCAAUGGGCGAAAGCCUGACGGAGCAACGCCGCGUGAGUGAUGAAGGUCUUCGGAUCGUAAAACUCUGUUAUUAGGGAAGAACAAUUGUGUAAGUAACUAUGCACGUCUUGACGGUACCUAAUCAGAAAGCCACGGCUAACUACGUG
rnacentral:rRNA from 1 species